CAGGACAUAGAUUAGAUGUAAGAAUGCUAGCGGCCUGCAGAUCUCUCACAGACCUGACAUCCUGAAGGAGCUUGCAGCAUGUGUUCCCAGCUGCCCUUCCCAAAGAGGCUAAACCCACAGUGACAGCCUAUGUGGAACACCAUUUUCAUGUCCCACUGUUGCCCUCUUCUAUAAGCAGUACCUGUGAGAAAGUAGCUCUCUGCUUUUAUUUUGGUUCUCUCAUAUAAGAAUGCUCCACACAGGAAGUACACGGGAAAAGAAGCAAAUCCAACACGAAAAAGACACAUGCAAAUACAAGUGAAUUGGCUUAGAGAAAGAAUUGUUACCAAGGUCCACUGUUGGAAAUACAUCUGAAAGAGAUAACCUUGGAAGCUGGUCACCUGAACACAGUGAGAAAAAGGGUGUGAGAAAGGAAGGACCUGAUCAUCCAUCAGAUGGAAUCCAGACGUGACAAUUAGAGUUAAUGAACCAUGACCCAAGAAGCAGUUUCUGCACUUUACAAUCCUACUUCAUGGCCUCAGUAAAACUUACAGGGCUUUUUUUUUUCCCACAGAACACAUCUGCUCCAAAUUCUAAAGGGAGAAACUGGUUUCAGAAGUUACAUUUGGUUUCCUCCCUACUUUUCAGUCAUGUAUGAGGUAAAUGUAAGAACUUUGUUAACUAAAAAUCAGAAGAUACAGCUUCUACGAUGAGACUACAUAGUAUUAUUAUAGUAGCUAUUUAAUUUAUAUUAAAAUUAAUGAACUGAUAAAGAUGACUGGAAAACACCAAGCAAAUAUUUUCAAAACAACCAGCAUAAUGGCUUCUAUGUUUAAAUACUGGUUUUGGCCUCAGAUAGCUAAGAGAAUGCCUCAAAGGGGGAAAAAAAAAAAAGUUGAUUAAUACCUAAGUCUCCUAUCAUUUCUUCACAGAGCAGGUAUAGCUAAUGAAGCAGUGCCUCUUUUUCCCCAAAGUCCAGAAGAUCUACUGAACUUCUAAUCCUGAGGUGGAAUUGAUCUUUCUUUCCCUACGAGCAAAGUAUUCCUGCAGUCAGAGCCUCUCAAUAGUUUCUCAGAAUCACAAAAAUUCAUCCAUUUGGUCUUUUGCUACUAUUUGGAAUGAAGGAUUGAAAUAGGGCCAAACAACUCUUGGUGGUUUUCUUCCCAUACCAGACGCACCUUUUCUUGGCCUCCUCCAAAGAUGUGUUACCAAAACCAUAACAAUUCACUAUGAAAUCUGCUACCUAAAUUACAAUUGCUUUUUGGUUACAGUAGUGAAUUCUAAAAAAGCUUUUCCAGCAGCCCUGGUCAGAAAUCCACAAAGGAUACCUAGUGCAGAGCAGGAAGAUCUCAAGAGUUUGGAGAUAUUGUUUCACAGUCAGCUUACACUCCAGUUCCCUCUUCUCACUGAGUUAGGAAGUGAUUGGUUGCAUCCUGCUUCUGGAGAAGACAAAGGUAUUUCAGCCAUUGGUACUCCAAACUCAAAGAAGACCAUUAUUAAGAAAUGAAAGUCCAACUUGGUCUUGUACAUGGAAAUGUCUGCAGUACUUCCAAGACUUCUUCAAGAGUCAAUGGGUCUCAUAGGAAUGGCUCACAGAGCUUUUUUUCUUACUGACACUGUCCUCAUACAUUCCAAUUUUUACAGUUAGUAUGGCGUUCUCUUCAGUGAAACUUGAGCGCACACACUCAUGCUGUGUCAUGAGAAUUUUCUAGUCCUAUCACUGAAUUCCUUUCUUAUAGCUUAUAGUAAAAUCAUUUCCAAAGGAGGAGAGGAGAAGAGAACAUUGCUGUUUUCUGUUCUAAUAUGAGCAUGUGAAUAAAUUAAAUGAUAUUUAUAUCUUUAUAGAAGGAGCUUCACAAUUUUAAAAAAUAAAAAAAGAUGAUCAGAAGAAAUGGAAGGAAAAGGUGUGGUAAGAGUAAAAUAUCUGAUAAGAAAUUAUUUGACUGAAAAUGAAUAGUAGAGGAAUAUUACAAAAUCUAUCCAUAUCACAGUUAAUCGAUUAAAUAAUAAAACACAUCACUUUAUUCUAGCAAGUUUUUUCAAUGCAAAAAAAAAAAAAGCCUAUGGCUUGGUAAUAAAAGUAACUGUAAACUGUCUUGCCCAUCAUACAUACUAUUGUUAAGUAUAGUUUUAUUCCUUCACUAUAUUAACUUCCCAAGAGCUCAUUAAAUGUUACUGAUAUUGAAAGCACGGUCAAUCAGGUGAAAUAAAAUAAAAUGGAAAAAAAUUAAAAAUAUCAGUAGAUCAAGUGUUUGUUGUAAAUAUCUUCUGCCUUGCUUAAACAUUGAACUAAUUUUUAAGUAUGCAUGCAGAGAAGUUGUAUAAUGCAUAACCUGAUAAAUAAAAC
ensembl:lncRNA